rnacentral:rRNA from 1 species
UACGGAGGAUGCAAGUGUUAUCCGGAAUCACUGGGCGUAAAGGGUCUGUAGGUGGUUUUUUAAGUCUGCUGUUAAAGCUUGAAGCUCAACUUCAAAAAUGCAUCGGAAACUAGAAGACUUGAGUAUGGUAGGGGUAGAGGGAAUUUCCAGUGAAGUGGUGAAAUGCGUAGAUAUUGGAAAGACCACCAAAGGCGAAGGCACUCUACUGGGCCACAACUGACACUGAGAGACGAAAGCUAGGGGAGCGAAUGGG